UACGUAGGGGGCGAGCGUUGUCCGGAUUUAUUGGGCGUAAAGAGCGUGUAGGCGGACAGAUAGGUCUGCUGUGAAAACUCGAGGCUCAACCUCGAGAUGUCGGCGGAAACCAUUUGGCUAGAGUGCGGAAGGGGCAACUGGAAUUCUUGGUGUAGCGGUGAAAUGCGUAGAUAUCAAGAGGAACACCUGCGGCGAAGGCGGGUUGCUGGGCCGACACUGACGCUGAGGCGCGAAAGCUAGGGGAGCGAACGGG
rnacentral:rRNA from 1 species